rnacentral:lncRNA from 1 species
ACAAAUUGUGCCUUAGACUGCUUUAGCCUCCUACUAUUAAUGUGUAUAAUUGGUACCUUUAUAAGGGAACACAAAAGGCCAAAAAAAAAAAAACAAAUGCCCUGAUUAAAUGCAUAAAAACAUUUUGCACAAGCCAUAGUAACAAAAUUAAGGGGGUAUGACAAGUAAGACUUGUUUUAAAAGUCUUUCAUAUUCUCUAACAAAUGACCACUUCAAACUUUAGCAUUAACAAAGAA